CAAGAUGCUGAGAGAAACUUGGACUGAAACAACAAGAGGGUCCCCCAAGGACUGGAGAGGGGCCCUAAAGGGAGGGCCCCAAGUUGUGGCUGGGGUUUGGGGUGCAGGGUUUGGGCUGUGGCCGUGCCCCCGCUCGCAGUGAGCAGUGUCCCUCUGGCCUGUGUGUUGUGCUGGCUGGGGCAGUAAUGGAGAGCUUUGGUUGCCUGGGGAAUGGUUGGUGGUUGCCUCUGGAAUGGAGAAGGGCUUUGUGUUGUACCUUGGCGGGGAAGCGAGUAAAUCCCGGCUAUUUGCAGGGCAGAAGUCGGGCUGUAAUGUAACGUAGCGCUCCGCUUUUCAUCCGCAAGGAUUUGGCAGAUCUAAGGCUUGGGGGCACAGUUGGGUCUUUCCACAGCCCCAUGACAAGAGCAAAGUCCGGAGGAAAGGAUGGGAGUUUGGAAGCUGGGUGCUCCACUUCUCGUUUGGAUGAUAGCGAUGAAAACACAGAUUCAUCCUUUUGGGGCUGGGGGUCAAUCUAAAAUUCAGCUUAAAAGCAGCAGAUACGUACAAAAGGUAAAGAGGGUGUAAUAGGUUAUAAUUGCCAUGACAAGAGAGCUUUGUCUUCGCCAUUUCUGACCAUUUCAGCCUGAAAACCAAGUCAGAAGUCAGGGCACUUCCUAAACAGCGUGGCUUAUCCUGUAUGGAAAGACAGCUCAGAAUAAUGGUGUAAAUGAUAGUGAAUUGAGUUUGCAGUCAAGUGUGCCUUGUAAAUCAAGUGGGAAAAGGUGUUUGUAGAGCCAAAGAGCACCACUAAAGAGACAUUGUAGUGAUUUUCAAAACAGUGGCUUUCUAAAAAGGAAAAAAUCAGUGCAGAUGGCUGUGUUUGCUUUAUUCAACCCGCGCUGGGCACGCCUGUUUUAUUGCCUUCAGAUGCCAUAGCUGCAUUGGGGCAUUUGAUUAUAUUUUAGGUGGGUUUUUUUUUUACUAUCUUGCUCAUUUGUAUUUGCUUUAAAAUAUUCCCAUCCAGGAGCUCUGAGUCCAUUGAUUGGUUCCACUUUGCACAAGGAUAAGUGUCUAAAUCCCAACCCACCUUCUGUGUCCUGAAACUGCUCUGAUUGACUAUGAUGGAACAAAGUGUAUUGCUGAAAGAAAACACUCUCUGUUCUCCUACAGCUUAGAUGAGAAGCUGAGCCUGGCCAGCAGCCAGUGGCUAGUCUGGGAGUUGUGGUUUGCAAGUGUUUGUGAUCAGAUGACACGAAACUAGUGCUUAGAAAGAUGUAGAGGACCUGAAACACUCGUAAGACUUGCCAGUUCUGAAGUCCUGCACGUUGAUACCAUGGUUGUAUCACAUCUUUUAUUCUGAGAAGGAAAGAUAAACUGUUCUGUUGUUUAGCUGAUUAAAACAUAACUAAAUGACACGGCUGCAAAUAUUGGUGCUUCUGUGUGUUUUUCCACCACUGAGGAGGCGAUUGGAAAGGGGGCUGCUGCAGGUGUCAAUGAAACAGCUCCCAUGUCCAUGUUCUAGAGGAGUAACAAAGCUCCAGUGAAGGAUCGAACUCGUCAGGUUUUGCUGUUCACUUUCCACAUAGAAAUAAUGGGGGGGGGGGAAAGGGAAAAGCCAGAAGUAAGAACAGGAAAUAUAGUCAGGAUGGGCCACUUUCACAGCCUCCGUGUCGGGAAGGCAGCUGGACGGCGUGGCUUAUUUUCCCCCAGUUCCUAUUGUGCUUGGAUCAGUCAACCUUAGGGACGAGGAAGUGCACAGUACAGCUCAGCUUUUGUAACUCCGCAUUUCGUUUGGGAAUGUUAUCAAAACAACCAGAUGUCAGCAGGAUGAACGUUAAGACCUGUGCAGAAUCUGCUCUGUCAGAAACGAGUUCAGAGUCAGUUUUGCCUGCCUAAACAUUUCGCCCAGCAGCUCAUUAAAGUGGAUGUAUUCAAAGGAGACUUCCCCCCCCACCCCAGAUUAGAUCAUUCCUGUGAUAAGAGCAUUAACAAGCAUAUUUUGCCAUAAAAAAAAUGAACAAGCCUCGAGGGCAAGGAAGGUGAUUUAGCCUGCAGUUAAGUUAUAUCCCACACUUGUCCUUUACGGAAUAAGGCAACCAGUUCACCUCUUUGUUGUAGCUGAGAACAAGCCCAACAAUGGCCUCUGACCAGCAGAAUGGGCAAAGCUGGUGAAAGGUGGCAGCUUGACAGCUCUGGGGAGCCUUAACCCACGCAGCAGGUAGAGCAAUGGCAGCACAAGCUUCCCCUGCAGCACACCCACUCUGACCUGCUCACCCACUGCACCUCUUCAGCCAGAAAAAGCCCUGGGGUGGGGAGAGGACUCGUGAGUUGUGCAGGCCUUGGCGUCUCCCCACUGCUUGCUUUGUAUGUGACAAACUGAAAUCUAAAGACAAACAGUGCUAUCACGAUAUCUAGAAGGGAUUGACAGCAAACUGCUGUCACAUAAGCCACCAAGCUGCUGACACAGUUAGGAGUGGAGGCUUUAAAAUGAAGGCAGCUCUAUUUCAUUACUAGAAUUUUCCAGUUUUCCUAAAGCUGCUUUAGGUACACAUUAACUUACCCUGUCUCCUGUUUGUUAUUAACUCCAGAAGAAGCUGAGAUUUGAAGGGUUCAUUUCUUACCCUGCUGGAAAGGCUUGAGCCAGUGCAAAGCAGCACCACUUACACAGCCGUGCUCCCAGAAGCGUCUCAAUGCUUGUCCCAGUGUUGUCGAAGUAACUAGGCAUUAGGGGAGCUGUUGGUUCCCACAUGUCCUGCUGUGUGUAAGCCCAGCAAUCCCGCACAGCUACCCAAACUUGACCCACAGAGCUUCCCACUGCAGAGGGAGGGCAGCAUAAUCUUUGGGGAGUGCAAGGGCACACUUCCACGCAGAGCUAAGUGUGUGCUCAUAACUCUUAAUAAGCCCAGUAGAUUUUCUGAGGUGCUAGAAGAUAAAGAGGUAGUGUAAGGAGGGCAAGAAACCUUGAAAUUGCUGUUGAGGAUUGGACUGAUGACCUAGUUAGUUUGAUUUCCUGCUUACAAUGACUUCUACCAAGUACUUCAGGUGAUGAUCUGGAAACCUGCUUCAGAGGUGUGCAAAGAAAGGGAUCAGUUGUGAUUACAGGAAAUACACUGGCUGGGCAGGAGUUAAGAACUAGUUAUGAAAUGGGGGGGGGCAGGGAGGAGGAGUAUUUUAACUACUAUUUUGUUCCUCCAGACAUCCAUCUGCUCCCCAUAUAAAUGUUUGCUCUUCCUUGGGUCAGAAUGUUCCCAGGUCAGAUUGUCUAGUGGAUAUGUCCUUUCAAAUUGCAGCGCAGAUUCCAGUGGUGCUCUGCCUUCCUGGUGCUUCCUUGAACUUUUGUCCUACAGCACAUUAAUUUCUUAGCUCACAGUUCCUUGUUCCCUGUGACGUUUCCGUGUUUGGCUUCACACACAGACGUAUCUUCAAUCUCUGACUGCCGACAGAGAUCAGGCAGCAGAGGAAGCCAGAGAUCAUGCACUAUGCAAGUGGGCAGCCUCAGCCUGUCUUCAGACUCAUUGAACUCAUUAGGGAGGAAAAGGUAAUCAGCUGUCCUUCAAGGAACAGGAUGUGGCAGGAAGCAGUGAGAGUCAGCAGGUCAGUCCUUAACAGCUGUCAGAACAAUGUGCACAGUACAGCAGCUCUGGAGUUCUGCUACAUCAACUCACGAGCUUAAUGGGCUACAACAUGCACAUUGAAACUGGUCCCUGCGGAGACCAGAGUGCAGCUGCAGAUCCUGCACCAUACCUGUGACCACUUGUAUUCACUAGACAGGGAAAAUAGCAGCUGUGUUUUACAUAUUUAAGCUUCCAAUGUCACCUCUGAGUCCUUGCAGCCCUCCUGCUCCCUUUGGAGGCUGUAACUUACAGUGCUUGUGUCGCUUGUGGGUGAGGAAACUGAGGCAGGAUAAAGGACCAGCCUCAGGCUGUACAAAGGCAGAGGUGGGAUGGGAGCUGAUGAGGUCUGUCACCUCUGCUCCCUUCAGGCUACCUCCUCUGACCUUGAGUCCUAUGGAAAAUAGAUUGGGGGUUAGGUCACUUUUAAAAGUCUCCUCAAUGUACCUUUGAAAUACCGAAUAUGUUCUUUUGAACUUAAUUAUCUGCCCUUAUCCUGUCUCAACUCUCAUUGAUAAUCCUCUUGUUUGCCUUUAAAAAUAUUUAUGGGAGAUUAUUCUUUGGCAGCGAUAGUUACGUUUCAUUCUCUUUUCUAUUAUACUGGGCUUUUCUUUCAAUGGAUUCCUGAUGUCUUGCCAUUUGCUAUUGUUAGGUUUAUGUAUUGUGGUUUUAAGAUUUUAAAUGGGUUCAGAAAAACGCUUGCUUGUGGUAACUGGCUACUUUUCCCCAUGAGCUGUUUUGGAGGUGGCCACAAGAUAUGAAUUUGUACAAAGCUGUAUUUUUUUUUUAAUUUCAUCAUUCUCAUGAUGACACUGAUUGAUGUAACCUCACCUUGUUCCUCUGACCAGCAUCACCGCAGCUUGGGUCUUUGUCCAGCAACACCAGUGUGAUGGCACUGAAACUCUGGUCAACUGCAUCACCACUCUGUGUCCCCGGGCCUUCUAAAACUCUGCAUUUUAACAGCGAGCCUUUCCUGAGCCUCACAUGUAAAGCAAUGCAAGUAAAGUUAAUAAUAUAUAAGGCUU